rnacentral:rRNA from 1 species
CCUACGGGUGGCUGCAGUGAGGAAUAUUGGUCAAUGGGCGCAAGCCUGAACCAGCCAAGUCGCGUGAGGGAUGACGGUCCUAUGGAUUGUAAACCUCUUUUGUCGGGGAGCAAGGCCCGCCACGUGUGGCGGGAAGGAGAGGACCCGAAGAAAAAGCAGCGGCUAACUCCGUGCCAGCAGCCGCGGUAAUACGGAGGAUGCGAGCGUUAUCCGGAUUUCUUGGGUUUAAAGGGUGCGUAGGCGGAAGGUUAAGUCAGCGGUCAACUGUCGGUGCUCAACACCGGCCUGCCGUUGAAACUGGUCUUCUUGCGUGAGCUAGCAGUAUGCGGCAUGCGUGGUGUAGCGGUGAACUGCAUAGAUCUCACGCAGAACUCCGAUUGCGAAGGCAGCAUACCGGCGCUCAACUGACGCUGAGGCACGAACGCGUGGGGAUCGCCCAGGAUUAGAUACCCGAGUAGUC